GCACCCGUUGCUCAGUUGGUAUAGCGGUGGAACGGCAAUCCACAGUCCCGGGUUCAAGUCCCGGCGGUCGCU